GGCAGACGGGGGCAACCUGGUGGCGAGUGGCGAACGGGUGAGCAAUGCUUCGGAAUCUGCCCAAUGAUGGGGAAUAAUCCAUGUGCGAAUAGAUUGGGCUGAAUUACCGCUGAUACUGCCCUUUCGGGGAGUAAAGCGGGGGUCGCAAGACCGUCGUCGUCGCAUGGAUGAGCCGAAGUCGUGCAUUAGCUAGUUUGUGUAGGGUAAUCGGUCGCUACCAAGGCGACUGUAUCCUGUAGUCUGGUCUGAUGAGGACGACCAGCGCGACACUGGUGACUGAUGACACGGGCCAGGACUCCUACUGAGGAGGGCAGGCAGUGGUGGAAUAUUGGAGCAACUGGUGGGCAACCCUGAAUCCUACGACAGACGCCGCGUGUGUGAUAGAAGAGCCUGCCGGGUUGUAAGAGCACUCUCUUAGUGGGGAUGAAAAUGCACAUCGCUAAUCACCGGUGUGUCCUGACCUAACCCAAAGAAAAAGCACCGGCUAACUCU
rnacentral:rRNA from 1 species